rnacentral:lncRNA from 1 species
AAUCCUGUCACAAGGACACUGGAUUCACAUUGCCCCAGCACAGCACUGAAACCAAGGAGCUGAGACCCCAGCUCCAGCUUCUGAUGGCUCACUUUGGUAUUGACUACAACCUUGAGGAUCUGAAGAACCCAGCCAAUGAGAUGGAGCUCUUUUCCCUGGUUGUCAGAAAGUUUAGAAGCAUCUUCAGCAAACAGCAGACGAUGAAAACAUUUCCAGUUUAUGACACAGAGGCUUCUAGAUCAGAUAAAUGGGGCAUGUUAGAUCCAACCAGGGCUUUGAAGAAGAGAGCCAAUUGGAUUCCCUUUUUAAAGAUUAAGCCUAAAGUAGACCCCUGGCAGCAAAAGCUUUUGAUAAAAUUGAAACAAUGGAAAAGAGUGGAUAAGAUGAUGGACCUUCAUUCAAAAUUUGUAGAGGUCUCGGACAUGGAGAGGGUGCUGGAGGGUCUCCAGAAUCAUGCAGCAGUGGUGCUCAAACCACAUGCUUUGCAGUCAAGUUCUGCCACCUCUCAUGCCUCAGGACAGCUGAAUUACGAUCAUAUCUGGAAGGAAGUCUAUGCCUUCUCUGAGCAUCAACAGGGACUAAGUACUGAGGAUGAUCACACAGCUGUGGCUCAUGGUGAGGAGGAUGUAGAAAACACCAGCUCCAGUAAGCCCCCAGGAUCCUGCAGAAAGAAGAGUGAAAGAGGGUAUAGUUAUAUGAGCACCUUGCAGCUGCUAGGAUUGGAAGAAGGAACAACAAUUGCCAACAAGGAGCAUGUGGUGACAAGAGGAACCUACCUGUCCUUUCUUCUCCUACGUCACCUGAGGCUCCGAGAGCUAAAGGUAAAAAACAAACAAACAAACAAAAAAAAAAAACAACUCAAAAUCUGCAUGGAUCAGAGUUGCUGUUUUUUUUACAGUGAGGGCUGUCAUCCAAAUGCAAAUACAACUGUAUGUUGUUCUGGUUCAUUUCAGCGAGUAUGCCUGGGGAUCCUGAACUAUUUUAGGUCUGUGGAGAGAAGCCUGACCAUCAGUACCUCAGGCCUCUCCUUCAAGGCUGGUCAUCUAAUUCCCUGCGCAGAAGACACCUCCUGGGUCAAUGCUGCCAAAGGAGGCACUGGCGUUUCUGGUGGCUUAUGCUCUCAGCCCUAUAUUCACUACACGCCAGCUGACUACAAGGUGCAUAGUGCUCAGUUCAUGGAGUUUGCAGAGGUGGAAAACCAUGAUGACUUCCACACUCGUGACGAUGGAUAUAUUCACACACAGGACCAGAGAGGGGCUUACAUCGUGUAUGAUGUGGCUUUAGAGGACCUGAAGAAGCUUGAGAACCAGCUGCUGCUUGUGGCCAGUCAGUACAUCGAGAAAGAUAAAAGCAAUGUAACUUGUGGGAAGUAUGGUGGCAGCAAAAUCCCUGUCUGGGCACAUGCCUCUGUGGAUCGAUUCGCUGUGUUGCUUGACCUUUGGACCUGUGAAGCUGCUCUCUUGGAAAAAAAAUGCCAGCUUUUAGAUGUUUACUUUGAAGCUUACCAACAUGCUUUGGACCCAGAAGAAAGAUUUGCUUUGGCCCAAGCAAUAAUUGACAUCAUGCACAAACAUCCGCGGUUUGAUCUCAAGCUUGAAUAUUUUGUGAACACCUACAAAGACGAAUGCAUCUGUUUACAACUUCAUCACCAGCUGCUGAGGGACAUAGUAAACCAACAAAUAGAUGUUCAGAGGGAUUAUGUCAACAAGAUUUGGCGGAAAGGUCAGAAAGGUGGCAUCAGUGAAUUUGGACUUCCUUAUAAUGUGAUUACUAAGCAACUUAUCUCUCUUAACACUAGCCAUCCUACUUUGAAGAACAUUUAUUUGCUGGAGUUUCACCCUUCUCUUGGUCUGGUGUGCUUGAUCCCCAAAGUUCUUGAGUAUAUCUACCAGGAAUACUACAGCAUGUGUAGACCCAAAACAGCCAGUAAAGCGAUUGAUUUAGAAAAACAACUACUUCAGCUAGCACUUCAUGAGUGGCUGACUAUGGAAAAACCACAAUCUUUCUACAGCUCUCAGAUUCAAGAAGAUUUAUUUGCAGAGGUACUGAUAGAGGACCCCAUGCUGGUGCGAGAGAUUGCUUCAUCACUGUUAGAGAAGGGAGCAGAUGAAGAAAGAAUGGAAGGCAGAGGAAGGCAGUUCUUGAUGCUGGAUUCCUUCUCCACGCUCCUGGAGCUUGUCACGCUCCGCCAUCACUUGAUAGAGGCGGCAACAGAGAGUGCACAGUUAGCCAGGUUAUAUAAGGCUUUUGCAAUGGAAACAGGUUUUGGGGAGUUCCAUUUGUAUCUGAGGCCAGCACACUUUGAAUCUGCAGUUCACAAGGAGAAAGCAGACCAUCUCCCACCAAUAUUCAUUACCUCUCUCUUGGAAGAUGACAGCUGUGUUGACAGAUAUAUCCCAUCUAGCUUACCAUUAAGCAUUCAAGAAAUCGACAGUCAUAUUGGAAAGUUUAGUUUUCGUACAAGAGAUGCUGUUAUGCAGCUCUUGUGUCCAUCUGGAAUAAAGAACAUGCAACUUAUCCUUGCCUGCCAGGUCAUUCAGAAAAAUGCUCUUUUGGCAGCUGUUCAGCAAGCCUCAUUUUGUUACCUGCUCCAGCCUGCCCAUAGCCUGGACAUAAAGGGAGGAAAUGUAAGUCUAACAAGUCAGAGGAGUUCAGCAAGUGGAAGAAAUUCAGUAUCUGGAAGCCAAGCAGAGGAUCAGCUGUUGCCAGCAACUAUGCCGGACACAUCAUUUUCUGUGCGUUCUUCAGGUUUAUGCUGUGCCGCUCACAGGCCUCCUGAAGCUUUUAUUUCCAUCCAGCUGGAGAAACUGGGGCCCCGAGAUAUGAUGCUGAACACUUUCAUCCAAAAGAAAGAAAUGCUGGGCAGCAGAAUGCAAACCCCUGUAAGUAUAUCAGGAGGCUUAGCCUCUUUGAUAAGGACUGCUGAUUUUUGGCACAUAGGCAAAGUGGUAGCUUAG